GACCACGAUACCCCCAGAGACGUGACGAGA
rnacentral:piRNA from 1 species